rnacentral:lncRNA from 1 species
GAACCCGACUAAUAUCCACGAGGAUGCAGGUUUGAUCCCUGGCCUCGAUCAGUGGGUUAAAGAUCUGGCGUUGCCAUGAGCUGUGGUGUAGGUUGCAGAUGUGGCUUGGAUCCUAAGUUGCUAUGGCUGUGGUGUAGGCCGGCAGCUGCAGCUCUGGUUUGACCCCUAGCCUGGGAACCGCCAUGUGCUGUUGGUGUGGCCCUAAAAAGCAUAAAAAAAAAAAAAAGCUAGAACUCUUAUUUCUGGACUUCCAAUAUCCUUUUGGAGCUGAUUCUGCAGCAUACAGAAGUUCCCGGGCUAGGGGUUGAAUCAGAACUCCACCUGAGGCCUACGCCACAGCCACACAACACCGGAUCCGAGCUGCUGUGGCUGUGGCGUAGGCAGGCAGCUGUAGCUCCGAUUCCAUCCUGGCCUGACCUCCAUAGGCUGCAGCCUGUGGCAACACCGGGUCCUUAGCCCACUGAGUGCGGCCAGGGAUCUACCUCACAUGCUCACGGACACAGCGGGAAUGCCUCCGGUAUUAUCUUUCCUUAUCCUGUGUCCAUCCUUCUCCCAACAGCAAAAUCCCCCUGUCCUUGAACUCCAGAGUGGACAAGCUGGUUCCCGUGUGACUGGCUCCAACCGCUGUGUGGAGCUGGUCCCCAGUCGUGUAAUUGUUUGUUUAUUGUAUGUCUCUCCCCGGAGAGUUCCUCAAGGGCACAGACCCAGAUUUAUGCAUUUUUACAUCUCAGUAACUCUCACUGGCAUCUCGUAGGUAAUAGUUUAACCAAGCCUGGUUGAAUGAAGCAAGCGGCCAUGUAUUCCAGGGUGUUGAGUUACUAACUCUCUUGUUGGCGUCCUUUGGUGUGUUUCUAGAGUUACUUCCUGCAGCUCCCUUUUCUCCUUGAGAUAAAAAAAGAAGCCAGACCUCUCACCUUGCAAAAGGUUAGUCCUCUUCCUAAAGCCAUUUUUUUGUGAGCCCUUUUGAGAGGCUCGCAAAGUGUCCUCUAUCCCUGGGGAGGAUCCUAGGUGAGGGGUUGGCAGACAUCGCCGCAAACCAAGAGAACUUGCCCUUGACAUUGGAUGAAAAGAAGCAUUGUGUCCCUUUGCUUUUAAUUUCAAUCCCUGUCAUUGUCACUUGCCUGGCAGAGAACUGUGUAGACUGGGAAGGCUUGAUUUCCGCCUCCCCCCUACCCUGAACCCUUUGCAGCCAGAUAGAGUCUGUCUUUUCCCUCACUGUUUUUUUUUUUUUUUUUUUUUUCCCCAGCUUCGAUGUACUUGAAACAACCAUUUUGAAUACGGAAAGGGGCCGCAGCCUCGUUCCAGCAGCUAGCGGGGCAGAGCCGCUAUGCUGGCUGUGCUGUGCGAGUUGAUUGAAGCCUUUUUUAAGCCUCAGCAACAAGUGGCUACCUUCUCGGGUGAUGCUGUGAUACAAAUGCCAUCCACAAAGGCUACUUGUGGAGACUAGUAUCCCUUCUUUGGCUCAGAUUUCUCCAGAAAGUGGUCACAGGUUGAUGGGCUGGUGAAGCUUCUUUCUCCUUUCAGCCCAUCAGAUUUUUUUAAAUGCUCCCCAGCCCUGCUCCGAUUCCGUGUUUGAUAACCUCCAACGGUUAAAGGGAAGUAUUUGUCAUCUCAGCACCUGGUUUCAGGAACAAAGUACUCACCUCCCAGCCCAGGAAGCCGUUUCAAAAUAACCUUUGUUCAGGGAUCUGAAAGAGCUGAGUACUCCGCUGCCAGGACUGCCCCUGGCUGGGCAGGUGGGGGCAGAGAUUUCAGGUGAGCAGGGCUGCAGCCGUUGCCAUGGUGACUAUCAAUCAUUUGAUGAGAUCUGCUGGGAAGGGGGUGGGGGUGAGAAGCCACAGGAAAAUCUGCCUUUUAACAAUUCCUUAGCACCCAAUGCGGCUAUCAGGCUCAAGCCUUUGGAGAUAGUAAUUUGGGGGUACCUGAUUCUGGAAGCAGAGGGAAAGCUAUGCCGUCUAACUUCCUUUGAGAAAUGCAUCUAGUUGGUGAACCAGGAGCCUCGUAUCCUCUAGGCGCCCUCAGACCUAACGCUGAUUUUGUAUGAGAGUAUGCGGGGGCAGGGCUGCUCUUUACCAAAUCUGCCCUACUGGGCCCGAAUGUACGACUCGGUGGCUCCAAGGGAUGAUAAGGUUAGCUCUCCUGUGUUGAGGAGCUACUGUGUGCUGAAGGCUUUGCCCACAUCGUCUCCAUCAGCUCUUAAGACAGCUUUGUAAGGGAUGUUGUUAACUCUACUUCACAGACAAGGAAACAAAGGUCCAAAGAAUUGAAAAAACAACCUCUUUGAGGCCAGAGAGCAAAUAACUAUGGGAGCAGGGACUUCAUACCACCUGACUUCCCAUCAUGGAGCCUCUGGGGGUUGAUGAAGGAACGCGGGCUGUGCUGUGGCUAAUGGGCAGACACUGGGGGGCUGCUUCACCAGCAUCUGCUACGAGCCCUCUGCAGCCCUCAUCAACCUCUGGCCUCAAUGCUCUGCUGCCUUGCUAAAUUUGAGGCAGCUCCCCACCCCCCCGCCCCCAGAGGAGCCAGACUGCCCUGUCACACCUGGUAACACCUGGGGGUGGGGGGAGAGAUUUGGAAACUCAGGCAUUGGGCACCCCGGGCUCUGCCAAGGACCAGAUCCAUCAGUCUAAUCAGGUGACCUUAGAGUUUGGGCCCAGCUGGAUGUUGGCAGCACGGGACUCUGACUUUGCUAAAUGUUUUACAACAGAGCCACCACGAAAAGAACUGCCCGUUGGUUGUUAUUUUGGAUGCUCGAUUGAUGUGUAAGUCUAGAAACUCAGGCACUCUAGUUGACUGGGUUUGGGAGUUCUGCCUUGACUUGCGUGAGUGUCCAGCUGCUCUGCAGGAGUGACCAAGACCAUCACGGAGCUGUCAUGACCUCGUGAGGUUUGGGUUUCUUGACAUGGGCUUCUUUUUCCCAUGGGCAAGACUCCGGACUCCAAGGACAGGCUGGGGCCAGCCAGGGUCUGGUCCCCUUUCCCUGGGUCUCUGUCUGCUUAUGCCUCUUUCCAAGGCCUAAGUCCAGCCAUGUCCCAGGUCCUUAGGAAGGACUGUCUUAUAAGAAAGAGAAAGGAAAAACCAAAGGGCCUCUUGAUUCAUCCUCUCAUUAUAACGUCUAAGGUUAUCUCUGGCCAUAUGGAGCCUCUUUCUUUCUAGAGCCAAGAGACUCAAGUGGCUACUUGGAAAGAGGGGAUGUGGCAGUCUCGGUGGCACCAGAAAACCCGGGCUCUGCCAGAAGCGGGAGGGGAAGACACUGACUUCAGCAAAAUGGGGACAAGGACCUCCACGUUGCAAGAAGAAGGAACAAGGCACACUUGGCACCUGCCACCUGUUCACGUCUCCACAAGUGGUGGCGACUGUUGUUGGUAUUAUUAUGAUGUGACCGUCUCCCACUCUGUAAGUCCCUUCUAAACCCCUAGGUAGGCGUUCCAAGGGUUCAGUGUCAAUGUUUCCUCCUUGCUCACUUCAGCCAGAAAGGAGCUGUCUUUCUCUCCCUGCAGCUCUUGGCCAGUUUGGCCGCAGCAUCCAUCUGAUUCCUACCUUGUGACUGUAUUCGAACAGAGACUGGCUCUUACCUGCCUGAUGGAUGGAGGCUCACAGAGGCUAAGGGCCCAGGACCACAGGUUAGUGGGUGUGGAGCUGGGCUUUGAAGUCUGACCCAUAGUCCUUAUCCCUGGAAAAUGGGAAAAAACAGCAUUAGGGAAUUCACAAGAGAAGUUUUCUCAGGCUUUUGCUUAAGAGUGGGAACUAGCAGGUCUGGGCUGGCCCUAACCGGACACCAGGCUCCCAGCGUCCAGCACACAGCACAUUUAUAGAAAGUACCAGCUUGCCGUUUUCCUGAUCAGCGGGGACUGCACAGUAGGAUGGAAACGUGCCCUGGAGAUGUGGGCGUUGGAGCUCCUGAUAAAGGGGCUGGCGGUGGAGGAAGUGCUCAGAGGGUGCUGGGCGAGCAGGAAGUGGGAGCUGUUUCUAGCGCAGAGGAUGUGGCUCAAGACAAGGUAUGAGAAAUGAAAGUCAAGGAGGAAGUAGAAGUGGGAUCCGUAGGUGCCUUGAGGACAAGGAAGUGGCUUUGUUACCAAAGGUGGAAGGAGAAAUAGUCUUGUAAUGUCUGCAGGGGGAGGCGAUGGGACCUGCAGGUCGCCCUUUGCCUUGUGGAGAGUCUCGGCCAGCCCAGUGCUCAGAGAAGACACCCUGAAGGAGAAAUGUCCCUUCUUUUGUUUGUUUCAAUCUUGAAAAAUUUCUUCUUCUUCUUCAUCUUCUUUUGUUUUAAAGUAUAGUCGAGUUACAAUGUUAUGCUAGUUUCUGCUGCACAGCAAAGUGACCCAGUCAUACAGGUAUAUACAUUCUUCUCCCAUUAUCCUCCAGCACCUUCUACCACAAGGGAUUGGAUAGAGUUCCCUGUGUUGCACAGUAGGACCUCAUGUGUAUCCAUUCUACAUGGAAGAGUUUGCACCUACCACCCAGAAAACGCCCCGUCCAUCCCAUUCCCUCCCCCUCCCCCUUGGCAACCACAAGUCUGUUCUCCAUGUCUGCAAGUCUGUAGGAACUUAUCUAUAGAACAGAAAUGUCACUUCUGAAGGCAAUGGGACAUGGAGUUCAGAUGGGUUGUGUUGGCUGCCUUGGGCUUGACUUUUAGUUCUCUGGCCGGGUGGGCGGUCCCCAGGGAUGUGCCAGGUCCCUGGGAGCCACUCCAGGGAGGCAGCUCUGGUUUCCCUUGAGGCCAAGGUGGUUCGUAAAAAUCCACUAUGCAGGGAGCACUAACCAUGCCCUAGAGUUUACAGAUAUUAAACAAUGUCAUUCUCACAUUAAUUCCACGAAGUGGGCAAAUGCUAUUACUUAUAUUUUACAGAGAUGAGGCAGCUGGGAGUCGCCAUAUCUAGGUCAUUCGUCCCAGAGUAGAGGUGUUCUGGCAAGUUGAUUGCAACCAGAUCUCUGUGGCCAGAAUCAGUAUUCUUUCUGCCAAGCUGCUUGUUCCCAUAAAGGUCUACCUUAGAAAAAUUUCUCCCCUGUGUAUCAACAAGGAGCAUCAUCAGAGGCGAUUUUCGGGUUAAGGGUCCUUCUGAAAAUUAGAUGAAAGCUAGGACAUAAGAGCACAUAUGCUUUUCAAUUUGGGGGAUUGAAGAGCCUCUGAAGUGUAUCUAUAUGCAUCUGAAUGUCUACAGACCCAUUUCAGAAACUCCUGAGAUAAGGAAAAGGAAAGAAGUCAGAGAAGAAAGAAGCCUCAACGGAAACAGAAUUAAAAGUUGAAUUGUCAGCACAAUCUCAACCUUCUGAAUGUGUUGCUUUGAGUACAACAAGCUUCAAUACACAGGGUUGUGUUAUCUCACUGUAUAAAUAUUCUUCCUGUUCAUAACGUACAUGUGACAAUGACAACUCCUUUGAUCAUUCUACAGGUAGAUAUUUUUCCUCCCAUAAGACUCAAAACAUAAAAUAAUUUAUAAUAAUCUAUAGAAAAGCUUAAACUAGGGCAUCACUUCCUCUUCCUUUCCAACUCAGGUGUUUCACGGUCAAGGUCAUCAUCCAUUCUUCCAAGCCAUUCUUCCAGGAUCAUCCAGAAUCAUUUGGCAAUAUAGUUACAUUAAUCUUAUGAGGACUUCCAUCUCAUUGGAAUAUGGUACUUUGCAUAUGUUUUACUAAACUUAUUAUUUCUUUGAUACCACUUUGAAUCGUACUUAAAAUGCUCAGGCACAGAGAAUCCUGGGCUGCUGGGGAUGGAAACCACAGAAGAUGGGGAAACAAAAGUAAGAAGGUUUGAGCUGGAUGAUUUCUGAGGCAGAGAGAGGUUAAACUGAUAAGUUUCAAGGCUACCUGUCAAAUUGGUGGCAGAGCUGAGAUGAGAACCCCAGUGUCCAGACUUCUUUCAGGAUUCUGUUCAUUGCAACAUGUCUGGACAUGCAUUUGUUUAAUGUGUGGCCGGAUGGAGUUUUCUUCUAACCCCUUUCUCCUUCCUUUUGCAUCCCUGGCAGGGAGGGGAUCUUUGGUUACAUGGGGGGAAGGCCCAGAGGCUUUGUUAGCAGAGACCCCUGACUCAAGAUGAAGACCAUGGCCAUGGUCAGAGAAAGGUGCCCUGGUCCGGGAUGUAUGGGUAGAACCUACUUCUGUCUCUGGGGUUGGGGCCAGAAGUAAUGGGCAUCCCUACCCCAAGGACACUGGAGCGCAGCUCCAGGCUGGGGUGGCGUCCCAGGGGUCCAGAGGGGUCCAGAGGCAUGUGGGGGAGGGAGAGAGGCCAGCGGGCCAUUAAGGAAAGGUGCUCUGUGAGGUAGACCCUGGGUAGAUGGAAAGGUGGUCUCGCGAGCGACGGCUCUGUGUACAUUUGGAUCUGUUUGAAAUGGAGUGGAGAGCUUGGCGGUCAGCGUAUGAUGAGCACACUGGGGACCAGGUCCUGUGUGAAGGUCUCCAGGAGCAGAAGUCAGGAGCUCCACUUUCAAGUUUCUAACCUCAGAGGUGGAUGUGGCGAGGCACCAGAUUUAGCCCCUUAACCUUCCAUGCUUUGUAUUUUCUGACUUUGCCCCCUUUCAAUCGGCUUGACACCUGGCUCGAGAUUCAGUUCACACAACCUUGAAUAACUUUUUAGAGCCUUAGUUUCCUUGCUGGCCACCUAGAGCUUCUUCCUGUCUCUAAAAAAUUAGAAAUAACCCACUUGGAAAGUAUAACUCGAAUGAAAGGAGCUGAAGAACAUGGCGUCAAUCAGAUCCCAGCAUGACCUUAUCCAAGGAAAGAGUGCGUCUUUCAGAAGGAGAACCAGCCAUACUGGAAGCAGAGGGAAAGGACCCAGGGAGCAGACACUGAUGUCUAGUCUCUCUAGGGAGAGUCCCUCGCCAGGGACCGUCAUCUCCAGCACUGACGAUGCCCUGUUAUGGGAACAAGAACACUUGACAUCAGGACACAUUCAAGCCAGGACACGUUCAAUUCCCCCUGCUCUGGCUCUGGGCUCACCAAGCAAACUUCUGGUUAUAAUUUGGCUUCCCGUGUAAUUUGCCUGCAAGGAGCAGAUGUUUGGCCAGAGGAAGUAAAUGCUGGUGCCCUAGGCAGUCGCCUUUUAUUUGAACAAUAAAUUAAU